rnacentral:rRNA from 1 species
GGAGCUUGCGGCUUAAUUUGACUCAACACGGGAAAACUCACCCGGACCGGACACUAUGAGGAUAGACAGAUUGAUAGCUCUUUCUUGAUUUGGUGAUUAGUGGUGCAUGGCCGUUCUUAGUUCGUGGUAUGAAUUGUCUGGUUAAUUCCGAUAACGAACGAGAUUCUAACCUGCUAAAUAGUCUGUGUGUAACCCUGUGUGGUUUGUGUGUAUGGACUUGUCUGUGCGCACUGCCAUACGAGCAUACGGUACUUCUUAGAGGGAUUGGUGGAUACUAAAACCACAAUAGAGAGAGCAAUAACAGGUCUGUGAUGCCCUUAGAUGUUCGGGGCCGCACGCGUGCUACACUGACAGUGGUAGAGAGUUUGGUAUCCUCAGGCGAAAGCUGGGGGCAAACUUUUCAAUUACUGUCGUGCCUGGGAUCGGGGUUUGUAACUAUCCCCCGUGAACCAGGAAUUCCUAGUAAGCACAAUUCAUCAGAU